rnacentral:rRNA from 1 species
AUUGAACGCUGGCGGCAGGCUUAACACAUGCAAGUCGAGCGGGGAAGGUUGCUUCGGUAACUGACCUAGCGGCGGACGGGUGAGUAAUGCUUAGGAAUCUGCCUAUUAGUGGGGGACAACAUCUCGAAAGGGAUGCUAAUACCGCAUACGUCCUACGGGAGAAAGCAGGGGACCUUCGGGCCUUGCGCUAAUAGAUGAGCCUAAGUCGGAUUAGCUAGUUGGUGGGGUAAAGGCCUACCAAGGCGACGAUCGUUAGCGGGUCUGGGAGGAUGAACCGCCACACUGGGACUGAGACACGGCCCAGGCUCCUACGGGAGGCAGCAGUGGGGAAUAUUGGGCAAUGGGGGGAACCCUUAUCCAGCCAUGCCGCGUGUGUGAAGAAGGCCUUUUGGUUGUAAAGCACUUUAAGCGAGGAGGAGGCUACUGGUAUUAAUACUACCGGAUAGUGGACGUUACUCGCAGAAUAAGCACCGGCUAACUCUGUGCCAGCAGCCGCGGUAACAC